AGAUUAGGGUCUGACUCCGGAGAGGGAGCCUGAGAAACGGCUACCACUUCUAAGGAAGGCAGCAGGCGCGCAAAUUACCCAUUCACAGUACGAGGAGGUAGUGAUGAAAAAUACCAAGGUGAGGCCCUAUGGGUUUCGCCAUUGGAAUGAGAACAAUAUAAAUCUUUUAACGAGUAACAAGUGGAGGGCAAGUCUGGUGCCAGCAGCCGCGGUAAUUCCAGCUCCACAAGUGUAUUCCUAUAUUGUUGCGGUUAAAAAGCUCGUAGUUGGAUCUGAGUGCUUAGCGGGUGGUACAGUGUUUCACUGUCACUGCUUCGCGGCACAUAACCGUCGACUGGCUGCUGUUGUUGCUUUCACCGGUGACGGCAGUUAGCUAUCGACAUGUUUACUUUGAACAAAUCAGAGUGCUCAAAACAGGCGUUUCGCUUGUAUGUUUUUGCAUGGAAUAAUAGAAUAGGACCUUGGGUCUAUUUUGUUGGUUUUCGGAAUCAAGGUAAUGAUUAAGAGGGACAGACGGGGGCACUCGUACUGCAACGGGAGAGGUGAAAUUCUUGGAUCGUUGCAAGACGAACUACUGCGAAAGCAUUUGCCAAGAAUGUUUUCAUUAAUCAAGAACGAAAGUAACGGGUUCGAAGGCGAUCAGAUACCGCCCUAGUCGUUACCGUAAACGAUUGUAACCGGGAGCUAGCAGGCGCUUUACUAUGGCUCUGCUAGAACCCACCCGGAAACGAAGAGUUUUCGAUAUCCGGGGGAAGUAUACUUGCAAAUGUGAAACUUAAAGGAAUUGACGGAAGGGCACCACCAGGGGUGGAGCCUGCGGCUUAAUUUGACCCAACACGGGGAAACUCAUCCGGUCCGGACACCGUAAGGAUUGACAGAUUGAGAGCUCUUUCUUGAUUUGGUGGGCAGUGGUGCAUGGCCGUUCUUAGUUGGUGGAGUGAUUUGUCUGGUUUAUUCCGAUAACGAACGAGACUCUAGCCUACUAACUAGUUAUGCGAUCUUCUUGUCGUAUUAACUUCUUAGAGGGACAAGCGGUGCUCAGCCGCAUGAAAAAGAGCAAUAACGGGUCUGUGAUGCCCUUCGAUGUUCGGAGCUGUACGCGCGCUACACUGUAGAAUGCAACGUGCUAGCUUGCCUCGCUCGCAAGAGUGGGGUAAUCGGUUGAAAUUUCUACGUGAUUGGGAUAGGGACUUGUAAUUAUUUCCCUUGAACGAGGAAUCCCUAGUAAGUGCAGGUCAUCAGCUUGUGCUGAUUACGUCCCUGCCCUUUGUACACACCGCCCGUCGCUGCCCGGAGCUGAGCCAUUUCGAGAAAAAUGGGGACUGAUUGCUUGUGAGCACGCAAGUGCUUCUUGCAGUCGGAAACCAUCUUGAUCGGUAUGGCUUGAACCGGGCAAAAGUCGUAACAAGGUU
rnacentral:rRNA from 1 species